CACGGAGGAUGCGAGCGUUAUCCGGAUUUAUUGGGUUUAAAGGGUGCGUAGGCGGACGCUUAAGUCAGCGGUAAAAUUGCGGGGCUCAACCUCGUCGAGCCGUUGAGACUGGGUGCCUUGAGUGGGCGAGAAGUACGCGGAAUGCGUGGUGUAGCGGUGAAAUGCAUAGAUAUCACGCAGGACUCCGAUUGCGAAGGCAGCGUACCGGCGCCCUACUGACGCUGAAGCACGAAGGCGUGGGUAUCGAACAGG
rnacentral:rRNA from 1 species